rnacentral:rRNA from 1 species
AUGGGAGGGAGUCCUGGGGGAACGGGGCGGGGCACCGGCGCGCGUGGGACGGUGCGGCUGUGUGGUGACGGCGCCCUAGGAAAGAAAGGGGACGAGAGGCUGGGUCGGGGCCUGGGGGGGUGGGGGGGGGAUGAAAAGGACGAACUAGUAACUGAGAUUGAAAGGCAUCGAGUGAAUUGGGUUGUAAUCCUCUCCUCCUCCCGACCCUUCUCUCGCUUCCUCAGGAACCCUAGCCUCCGAUCCCCUUUCCCCUUCCUUCUCAGUUCAUAUUUGCCACAAUACCUCCAGAAACCCAUCUUUUCCACGCGCCAACAACGACGAGCAGUGGCGAUGGAGCAGCGCGUCGACGAGCUCGCGGCGACUCUCAAGCUGAUCCAGGAGCAAAACGCCUCCAUCCAGAAGGCGGUGGCGGCGUCCACGGCCCUCUUCGAGGAGAUCAAGCCCUCGGUCCUCGACCUCGCGGAGUGGCGGCCGGUGUUGGACCAGGCGGUGACGGAUCUGCGGGAGGAUUUGGGCGGAGUGCAGCGCGACCUCGACCACCCACACGACGUGUUCGUCGCCGCCACGACCACCUCCAGGCCCGAUGGCCGCCACGAUGACACAGCUUUCCGGGGGGCGCGACCUGGGGGAGUGACUACCCUAGUUCCACCUCCGGUCACGGUGUUCCACCUUGAUCCGGAGCUAUGGGUCGACACGGCAGCGAUGCAUUUCUCUGGUCCAACAAUGCUCUGGUUGGAGAAUGAGGGGUUUGAUCUUAGUCAGAUGGCGUGGGAGCAUUUCUGUUCGCUGUGCACAAUCCUCGCGACAUGGAUACUGAUGUUUCCUUGGCAUAUUUGCAGGAAGAAGCGCUGGAAAUCUCGAAGCGGCGUGAAUCACGCCGUUCAGACAACGUCUCUGGUGGUCGCUCCCAUUUGUGGGGGGCAGUGCCCUUACCUCCACCACCGGGGCGUCCCCCCUCCACCUACGGAAAAAAUAGAUGAUCGGAGAACAGCGCCCUAUACUAUGGCGCAGACAGCUCCAUCCACUGAUGAGCAGUUGACCACUCUCCGUGCGUACCGCCGUGCUCGAGGUCUCUGUUAUCUCUGUGGGAAAAAAUGGUCUCGUGAUCACAAGUGUGCAGCAGCAGUCCAGUUGCAUGUGGUGCAGGAGCAGUUUGAUGUGCUGGGCAUACAAGGGAUCAGUUCAACAUCUGAGGACAGUGACACGGCCAGCGAGUGUCAUACCAUCUCUCGAGCAGCAAUGGAAGGAUCAGUCGCUCCUCAAACUGUCCGAUUGCAAGGGCGUAUUCAGAAUCAAAAGGUGCUCAUGUUGAUUGAUUCGAGUAGUUCUCAUAGCUUUGUCAGUGGAGCGCUAUCAGCUCGUUUGUCUAGUGUGGUAGCAGCUCGCCGGCCGUUCCCGGUCAGAGUUGCUGAUGGUGGACAGUUGCAGUGCACACAGGAGAUUCCUGCGGGGGAAUGGACAGUGCAUGGCCACACAUUUUGCUCCAGCCUCAAGGUGUUGCCGCUUGGAUGCUAUGACAUGAUUAUUGGUAUGGACUGGUUGGAGGCUCACAGUCCGAUGCAGAUUCAUUGGGGCGAUAAGUUACUCCAAUUUGUUCGCGAUGGGAAACAAAUUUCCCUUCAUGGCGUACAACCGCAGCUGCAGCAGUGCUACCAGCUAACUUCAGAGCAGCUGUCGGCCUUGUUCCAUCAGAAUGAUGUGCAGCAGAUUGUGCAACUGUGUACGGUGGACGGUGCUGAGCAGUCUGAUGCUAUUCCAGAGGAGAUUUCUGAAUUACUGCAGCAGUUUGCUCACU